rnacentral:rRNA from 1 species
UACGUAGGGGGCAAGCGUUGUCCGGAAUUAUUGGGCGUAAAGAGCGUGUAGGCGGCCCGAUAAGUCCGCCGUGAAAGCCCAGGGCUCAACCCUGGGAUGCCGGUGGAUACUGUCGGGCUAGAAUCCGGAAGAGGCGAGUGGAAUUCCUGGUGUAGCGGUGAAAUGCGCAGAUAUCAGGAGGAACACCGAUGGCGAAGGCAGCUCGCUGGGACGGUAUUGACGCUGAGACGCGAAAGCGUGGGGAGCAAACAGG